GGUAGGAAUCUCGCCGCUUGAGGCAAUGGCGUCAUUGUAAUUGUCUUUCAAACGAUUUGAAUUGAGCGCGCUCUGUUACUUCUGGCAUCUGUGGUGAGAGCAAACAAACAGUCCAGAGCUGUUAUGGCGGAUGUGUUGGGUGUUGUGCGUUUAUUGUGAAGUAAAACUUCGUUGUAGGCGCAUAUCUAUUAUGUUUUGAAGUUAGCAGAUUGCACGGCACCUGAUUGGUGGAGCUGUGCGGUUUUGACGCACGAAAUGCUGUCAAGAGCUAAGCCUUUUGAAGCAGAAGGAGAAAGCAACCAGCAGAUGAUAUUUGAUCUAAUUCUGAAAACAGAUGUGGUUAUGCUCGAACACUUCCUACCAUGAGUGGCAAAUCUCAUAGUGAGUGACACCAAAAUACAUUCAGGUGAUGGAAGAACAAGUGCCGAAGAAAUUAAAGAAGCAUCCAUUCAACACUAUACCGAUCUUAUGGAAUGGACCCACAUAGAGUGCUUUACCCAGGCACUGUAUACCUCUGGGAAUGGCUCCUCCUAAUGAAACAUCUCGUGUGCAGUGGAUCUGGAAACACUGGCAGUAGGACACCGCAUGGGAUGAUAUCAGGGCAAAGUCGGUACUUCUGCCGUACUUCCCGCUUCUCGAUGACAACAUUGUUGGUGAUGAUGAAGACUAGUUUGGUGUUGAUGCUCCGAGCACUCAGUCUCGCAAGACUGAUGACACUUUCAAGGUCAGAACAAGAAUCUGCAACAUUUUAAUAUUUGUUGCAUGAGAAUAAGAUUUAUUUCUGGUCAUUCUGUUACUGUUAGAAAAGGUGCUCUACCUGAGGGCCAUGUUGCCUUCAAGUUACAUAAUAAUGUAAAUGUUGCUGUUCUGAUUAGGCCUUGGCUGAUAUUUGUUCACUGUAACUCUGGUAUGGUGCACAAAGUAAGAUUCACCAUUCACACUGCCUUAUAUAUUAACUUGGUUCAUGCAUAUAAAUGGCAGGUACUAGCAGAACAAUGGUCAUGACUGUGAACUGUUGUCUGAUAUCAGUAACAUAAUGGGUUGUCAACAUCUUGAAGUACAUUGUUUUCUACAAGCCGAGAAUUUACUCAGCUAGUCCAGACAUUAGCCAUAUCUAACAUUCUGUAACAUACUAGAACUUUUCCAAUGAGGUGCUUCUAGCACCCUACCUGCCCUCCAAUAUAUCUGGAUGUCCUCUCAUUCCACAGGAAACAGGCCAUGCCAUGGUGGCAUGGGAUUCACUUAACGUGCUGAAAAUGUUUAAACAUACCUUUUAAGAAUCUAGCUGUCUUGUGGGUUGUA